AACGAACGCUGGCGGCAUGCCUAACACAUGCAAGUCGAACGAGACCUUCGGGUCUAGUGGCGCACGGGUGCGUAACGCGUGGGAACCUGCCCUUAGGUUCGGAAUAACUCCCCGAAAGGGGUGCUAAUACCGGAUAAUGUCUUCGGACCAAAGAUUUAUCGCCUUUGGAUGGGCCCGCGUUGGAUUAGCUAGUUGGUAGGGUAAAAGCCUACCAAGGCGACGAUCCAUAGCUGGUCUGAGAAGAUGAUCAGCCACACUGGGACUGAGACACGGCCCAGACUCCUACGGGAGGCAGCAGUGGGGAAUAUUGGGCAAUGGGCGAAAGCCUGAUCCAGCAAUGCCGCGUGAGUGAUGAAGGCCUUAGGGUUGUAAAGCUCUUUUACCCGGGAUGAUAAUGACAGUACCGGGAGAAUAAGCUCCGGCUAACUCCGUG
rnacentral:rRNA from 1 species